rnacentral:rRNA from 1 species
UACGAAGGGGGCUAGCGUUGUUCGGAAUCACUGGGCGUAAAGCGCACGCAGGCGGAUUGAUAAGUCAGGGGUGAAAUCCCGAGGCUCAACCUCGGAAUUGCCUUUGAUACUGUCUAUCUUCGAGUUCGGGAGAGGUUGGCGGAAUUCCUAGUGUAGAGGUGAAAUUCGUAGAUAUUAGGAAGAACACCAGUGGCGAAGGCGGCCAACUGGCCCGAU